CCCUUAGAUGCCCUGGGCCGCACGCGCGCUACACUGACCAGUGCAACAAGCAUCCGUCCUUGGCCGACAGGCUCGGGCAAUCUUUGAACGCUGGUCGUGAUGGGGAUAGACUUUUGCAAUUUUUGGUCUUCAACGAGGAAUUCCUAGUAAACGCAAGUCAUCAACUUGCAUUGAUUACGUCCCUGCCCUUUGUACACACCGCCCGUCGCACCUACCGAUUGAAUGGUCCGGUGAAGCCUCCGGAUUGGCGCGCACCUCGGUGCCGCCGAGAAGUUGGCUAAACCUUACCAUUUAGAGGAAGGUGAANUCGUAACA
rnacentral:rRNA from 1 species